GAGGGAGAAACCUGCUGCCGCUCGCCGGCUCUUUGUCUGCUCGGGGACUUGGAACAAAAGGGGAAACUCUGAUGAACUCUCUCCAUCCUCCUCCUCUCUGACGCCUGGUUAUCUUUCCUCUCACAACUUUGCUGGAGAGACUCUCUCCAGCGCUAGGCACCCAACAAGUUCGGGGGCUUUAGGAACUGGAGUUAGAGAACCAUCUCUUUUAGAAUGGAUAAAAGAGGGGGGAAAAGAAGGUGCCAGAAUGAUGAUGGGCAACAUCUAGGAAGCAAGACAAUGGCUAGAAUACCUUUCUAGCAAGGUACCUUCUCCAGGCUGCAUUGUUUUUGUUGGACAUUUCUGACAAUGGAUAUAGCCAGGCCAAACAAUUACGGAGUGAAAGACGCUAACCUUCGCUUGGGAUUAUCGUUUAAGAAUUGAGUUUUGGAUAUGACAUGACUAUUAUGAAGGAUACUGUUACUGUUGGAAAUACAACUUCUUGAUCACUGGGAAUUCUCUGCCUUAUGGAAGAAGUCCAAGUGUCAAACACUAGAGAGAUAUGCGGUGAUUCAGAGUUGAAAUGGGAAGAAAAUGAUACCUGGAAAGAAAAUAUGGCUUCAGGUAAUGACUAAAUCCCAUUUUACUGGAUGGCCACUGAAGCAUGAUCACAAGACAGUCAGAAUGGUGGAUAAGUGCUCCUCAGGCAAAAUCCAUCUACUGAAAGAAACUACUGCAUUGCUCUCUCCAGAAGAAAAUGUAUCUUUGAUAUUAAAAUGUUAUGAAGGAGUACAAAUGAGAGAGGAGAUCUGUCAAAUGGCACUGGCUAUGAUAAAGGAGGAAUGCCACUUUUCCUAG
rnacentral:lncRNA from 1 species